rnacentral:rRNA from 1 species
CGAACGAUGAACCUCCUUCGGGAGGGGAUUAGUGGCGAACGGGUGAGUAACACGUGGGCAAUCUGCCCUGCACUCUGGGACAAGCCCUGGAAACGGGGUCUAAUACCGGAUACUGAUCAUCUUGGGCAUCCUUGGUGAUCGAAAGCUCCGGCGGUGCAGGAUGAGCCCGCGGCCUAUCAGCUUGUUGGUGAGGUAAUGGCUCACCAAGGCGACGACGGGUAGCCGGCCUGAGAGGGCGACCGGCCACACUGGGACUGAGACACGGCCCAGACUCCUACGGGAGGCAGCAGUGGGGAAUAUUGCACAAUGGGCGAAAGCCUGAUGCAGCGACGCCGCGUGAGGGAUGACGGCCUUCGGGUUGUAAACCUCUUUCAGCAGGGAAGAAGCGAAAGUGACGGUACCUGCAGAAGAAGCGCCGGCUAACUACGUGCCAGCAGCCGCGGUAAUACGUAGGGCGCGAGCGUUGUCCGGAAUUAUUGGGCGUAAAGAGCUCGUAGGCGGCUUGUCGCGUCGGUUGUGAAAGCCCGGGGCUUAACCCCGGGUCUGCAGUCGAUACGGGCAGGCUAGAGUUCGGUAGGGGAGAUCGGAAUUCCUGGUGUAGCGGUGAAAUGCGCAGAUAUCAGGAGGAACACCGGUGGCGAAGGCGGAUCUCUGGGCCGAUACUGACGCUGAGGAGCGAAAGCGUGGGGAGCGAACAGGAUUAGAUACCCUGGUAGUCCACGCCGUAAACGGUGGGCACUAGGUGUGGGCGACAUUCCACGUCGUCCGUGCCGCAGCUAACGCAUUAAGUGCCCCGCCUGGGAGUAC